rnacentral:lncRNA from 1 species
AAUAGAAGAUGAGAGAAAGCAGAUGGAAAAAAUCCUAUAUGCGAAUGCAGUCGGCAGGUUGAUGUAUGCAAUGAUGUGUGUUGGAAAAUCUUUCUGAUAUUUUAUUACAAAGAGAGAGAGAGAGAGAGAGAGAGAGAGAGAGAGAGAGAGAGAGAGUGAGAGUGAGAGUGAGAAUGAGUGAGGCCGGCAUGCUUUUGGAAGCACGAAGCCCUCUGUGCUUCCAAGUCGUUUUCGAUAUUGGGACUUUCGAAUCAACGAUCGGCUCCAUUAGACUUGAUGUAGAAUAUUUGAAGUACCUAGAAAAUAAAUUUUGUGAUUUUUCGAUAUCAUUUGUCUAGUAAUCGAAAGAGCUCAAAAUCAAAGGCUAAAAUAAAAAUCUUACAAAAUGUGAUGAUAUGAUAUUAAAAUUUUAGAUCAAAGAUAUUGAUCUUGUUUCAUAUAGUAUAAAGAAUUUUUUAUCAAAAUUUCACGCGAUUUGGAUAUUUCUAUACCAUUAAACUUGCAAACGGCUGUCACGCCCCGGGACCCAGCGGAAGCCCGCCCGGCAUGUGUCCAGACCCGCCAGACGUCUAAAACAU